rnacentral:lncRNA from 1 species
GGAAGGGUACCACUAGUCUAAAAGCAAUUUCUAAGCUAGAAUGCUAGCUUAAGUACAAAAGGUUGUAAGUUUAGGGGGGGGUGUAACUAAAGGAAGUGUACCGCUAAACUACAAGGAAUCUUCCACCUUAAGGAAGUACAACCGAUGAAAAUGUACUAAACAGGAGUGGGAGUAUAACUAAUGGAAUCAUACCAUUGCAGUCAAGGAUUGAAAUAUCGGCCGAUACACCGAUAUAUCGAUAUUUUCAACUGUCGAUACCGAUACUGGGGGGGUAAGGCCAUAUCUUCCCCUAUAUCGACGAUAUAUCCCCGAUAAGUGCGAUAUCUCCGAUAUUUUGCCGAUAUUCUUGAUAUUUCUCAAUACCUAUAAUAAAACCCAAAAAAAUUCAAAAGUUUUGAAGCAAAUUGAAACCCAAAAGAUUUUUUGGAGGUAUGUGGGCAGUGAUUAGAUAUGUGUGAAGACUUUUGGCAAUAUCCAAUUCAAAAGAUUUUUUGGUGUAUCCAUUAAUUAUUACUAUAAAGAAUCUAUGCACAAUGAAUUGAGGGGACAUACGUGUCUUAUCUGAAGAUAAAGAAAUACACAAAUCCAAAUAUUAAAUUUCUGGUCAAAUAUAUCUUUAUUACCCGCAAGAAAAUGAUGCACGUGUUUGAGCUUCUUGUGGAACUCUUUAUCAUUUAAUAUUUGUUUUGUUUUUUAGUUGUUUCUUUUUCACUUUUUGAAGUCAGGCA